GGAGGAAAAAGUUGGAAGAGCUUAAAGUAUUGGAGAAUUCACAUUGUGAUUACUACAAGAUGAAAAUGAGAAUGGAAUCUGAUAUUACAGGUUUGCUUAAAAGAAUGGAAGCAACUAAGCAGUUGUGGGUUUAACAACAAAUAUUUCAGUAUUUAUGUAGUAAGUAACAUUGGCAAACUAGAUGACAUAUAUAUGCUAGUGACUUCUGUU
rnacentral:misc_RNA from 1 species